rnacentral:rRNA from 1 species
CCUACGGGUGACAGCAGUGGGGAAUAUUGCACAAUGGUGGAAACCCUGAUGCAGCGACGCCGCGUGAGUGCAGAAGUAUUUCGGUACGUAAAGCUCUAUCAGCAGGGAAGAAAAUGACGGUACCUGACUAAGAAGCCCCGGCUAACUACGUGCCAGCAACCGCGGUAAUACGUAGGGGGCAAGCGUUAUCCGGAUGUACUGGGUGUAAAGGGAGCGUAGACGGCAGCGCAAGGCUGGAGUGAAAUCCCAUGGCUUAACCAUGGGACUGCUUUGGAAACUGUGCAGCUAGAGUGCAGGAGAGGUAAGCGGAAUUCCUAGGGUAGCGGUGAAAUGCGUAGAUAUUAGGAGGAACACCAGUGGCGAAGGCGGCUUACUGGACUGUAACUGACGUUGAGGCACGAAAGCGUGGGGAGCAAACAGGAUUAGAUACCCUAGUAGUC